ACAGGAACAACUGCAAGGCCAACUGUUGUAACUAUGAUAGGAUCUACAUCCACUAUAGUAACAUCACCACAAGUGCAA